CGCCAUCUUUGUUUUGCAUCUGAUCCCACGUUUGAGUUGCGUUGAAGAAAAACAAAGCAGGCACUGAAGUUGUUGAUAUAUACUGCAACAUAAUCUGCUUUCUUGACAAGUAUAUAUUCCAAUCACAUCUGUAGAUACAAGUUCUGCAAUCAUAGUGCCAGGGUACUAUCAUAAUGCUGGAAGUUACAUGUAAUGAUCGACUCGGCAAGAAAGUCAGAGUCAAGUGCAAUGAAGACGAUACAAUUGGUGACCUGAAAAAACUUGUGGCUGCACAAACUGGCACCAGACCAGAAAAAAUUGUCAUCAAGAAAUGGUAUACAGUCUACAAGGACCAUGUGACGAUAGGCGAUUAUGAAAUAAAAGAUGGAAUGAACUUGGAGCUCUACUACCAGUAAAGGCGUACUACAAUGGAUUUUUUUUUCAUCAUUAUUAUUAAACAUUUUUGGGAAUUCUUGUGUAUGUAUUCCACCAUCAUGAAACACUGGUGAUCUGAAUUAGGUCCUGACUGAGUAACACAGUAAAUUUAAUAUUUGUUGGUAAUUGAUGAUUACCACAACUAAUUGCCAUUUAAUGGUAUUUUCAAAAAUAAUGUCAACAUUUUUUCAAGAAGAAAUAUUACUAUUUCGGUGUUUAGGCCAAGAAAAAUGAAUUUUUCACAAAAGAAGCUAUGUCACCCGUUACCCAUUAUCUUGAGAAUGCUUGAGAAUCAAAAUGGUGGACUACAUAAUACUGAUAAACAGUUGAAUAUUCAUAAAGUGAAAUAAAAAUACUGUAAAUUGCAUUCUCUUAAUUUCUGAA